CGAAAUUCACAAGGUUGAAUUGAAAUAUAUUUUUUAAAUCAUUUUCUUAAGAAAAUAAAGAACAAAUCCUCUAAAUCAUAGCAAAUAUUUGGAAGUUUAGGUAAAUAUUAUGUUCGAACAAGUUUUUCAAUUUAUUCUCACCUUACUAAAUAAGUAAUUAUUCCACGCAGAUAUAAAACAAUAAAUUUAGAGAACUUUGUUAGAGUAGAAUCUUGUUUUCUUUUUUUUUUUAAUAAGGUGGGUAUUAUCGCGGCGCAAAAAAUU
rnacentral:lncRNA from 1 species